rnacentral:rRNA from 1 species
GACGAACGCUGGCGGCGUGCUUAACACAUGCAAGUCGAGCGGAAAGGCCCUUCGGGGUACUCGAGCGGCGAACGGGUGAGUAACACGUGAGUAACCUGCCCUAGGCUUUGGGAUAACCCUCGGAAACGGGGGCUAAUACCGGAUAUGACUACUGGCCGCAUGGUUGGUGGUGGAAAGUUUUUCGGCCUGGGAUGGACUCGCGGCCUAUCAGCUUGUUGGUGGGGUGAUGGCCUACCAAGGCGACGACGGGUAGCCGGCCUGAGAGGGCGACCGGCCACACUGGGACUGAGACACGGCCCAGACUCCUACGGGAGGCUG